rnacentral:rRNA from 1 species
UACGUAGGGUGCAAGCGUUAAUCGGAAUUACUGGGCGUAAAGCGUGCGCAGGCGGCUAUGCAAGACAGAUGUGAAAUCCCCGGGCUCAACCUGGGAACUGCAUUUGUGACUGCAUGGCUAGAGUACGGUAGAGGGGGAUGGAAUUCCGCGUGUAGCAGUGAAAUGCGUAGAUAUGCGGAGGAACACCGAUGGCGAAGGCAAUCCCCUGGGCCUGCACUGACGCUCAUGCACGAAAGCGUGGGGAGCAAACAGG